GCUCUGUGAAAUAUGCUCUCCAACAACUCCAGAAGCGUCUCACUUAAGAGCUGUUUAUGUCACCUGUGCUAAAUGAGAUGUUGCAGUGCGGCUUUAAUUUGUUUACUAACCAACAAUAUCCCUGUUCUCCGACCUUCUGGGAAGCUUUCAGCACAUAAUUUUUCAAGAGACCAGCCAGUGAAGCAGCACUGAUCAUCUGUGCACCAUAUGCAGUGCUAUCAAAACCCAAGGGUCCUCAUUACAUCAGUGCAUGGCAGUGAGUGUUGAAAAAAGGCCUCCUAAGCUGGACUUGUGGGACUCCCUCAAGCACUCCACAGGAAACCACGUGAUUGGUAGCUGAGGCCUGCCACAUCAACAAAGGGAGUAUACUUGGCCGAGGUGCAAAGAGGAGGAACAAAAACAGUGUCGAGACAAAAAAAUUGAAGGAAGUUUGUACCGGCACUCAGUGAGGCAGGGAACUCUGGAUGGGGAGUGAUGCAGACUGCAUUGGUGAGCUGCAAUGAUCUGAUCAGAAAUGUCCAGAAGAUGUGUUUUUAAGUCCCACUCAUGACAGCAGUUGCUCCCUGGGUUCAUUGGAUCACAAUUUCUACGCCUGCUUCACCAGCCAGAAGUUGGUGGACUCGAGACCCAACUCUUCAUCAGAUCCAUCAAAGCCAGAGAAAACCAAGAAUGAUCCUCUGCCAUGCUUCAUCAUGUUCAGUCGGUCUUGGAUAUCUUAAACAUGGAAAAGAGGAAGAAGUUUCUGGAAGGUGGUGAAGACGCCACAGUUUGACACAACCACAGGUGCAUGAACUUCCACUUCCUCUUGACCUUUCUUCACUUUCACACCUGGUGCACGUCAAAGAAAAGGAUCUGUGAGACUGGAGCUCUGACCAGGCAGUUUCCUCCAUACUUCUGAAUAGUGCGGAUAAUGUGGAAGGGGAUCUCACUUGCUCCACCUCUGGGGUAGUAGGCACCUCGUUUGUAGUGAUGAAUCAGGAGGGCAUUGAUCAUAAUACUGGAGUCCUUUGGAGGCACCCCUGAGGAUACACAGGACAAAGGAUCAUGUGUUUUUAUCAAACACAUGGCUUGCUCAGGAAAUGGUACCAUAUCUACACACAUAUUUAUAUAUUGUCUGACUUAUCACCCAAAUGUUAGGGCUCAAAAUUGUGAAAUAACUUCAAUUUGAUAUCAACAAAAACUAAUUUUAAAGAAAAUAAUCUUUAUGAACCAAGGCUUAUGAAUAGCUAAGAAUGUAAAGUGUAUGGCACAGAUGGUUGAGUGGUUAGGUCAUGCCCCAUGUUCGUAUGCAGCCCAGAUUCAAAUCCAGCCUGUAGCAGCUUUCUUAAAUGUCUCUCCCCCAAUCUUUCAUUCCUAUUUCUAACCCUAUCAGAUGUUGUCCUCUUUAAAAUAAAGGCGUACAAAGACUGCAGCCCAAUAUAUAAGGAAAAAAAACA